rnacentral:rRNA from 1 species
GACGAACGCUGGCGGCGUGCCUAAUACAUGCAAGUCGAACGAGUUCUCGUUUAUGACAAAGGUGCUUGCACCUGAGGAUUAAACAUUUGAACGAGUGGCGGACGGGUGAGUAACACGUGGGUAACCUACCCUAGAGCGGGGGAUAACAUUUGGAAACAGAUGCUAAUACCGCAUAACAACAGAGAUCACAUGAUCACUGUUUAAAAGGUGGCGUAAGCUAUCACUUUAGGAUGGACCCGCGGCGUAUUAGCUAGUUGGUAAGGUAAAGGCUUACCAAGGCGAUGAUACGUAGCCGACCUGAGAGGGUAAUCGGCCACAUUGGGACUGAGACACGGCCCAAACUCCUACGGGAGGCAGCAGUAGGGAAUCUUCCACAAUGGACGAAAGUCUGAUGGAGCAACGCCGCGUGAGUGAAGAAGGGUUUCGGCUCGUAAAACUCUGUUGUUGGAGAAGAAGGAUAGUGAGAGUAACUGUUCAUUAUUUGACGGUAACCAACCAGAAAGCCACGGCUAACUACGUGCCAGCAGCCGCCGUAACA